rnacentral:rRNA from 1 species
UGGGGAAUUUUCCGCAAUGGGCGAAAGCCUGACGGAGCAAUACCGCGUGAGGGAUGAAGGCUUGAGGGUUGUAAACCUCUUUUCUUAGGGAAGAAGUUCUGACGGUACCUAAGGAAUAAGCAUCGGCUAACUCCGUGCCAGCAGCCGCGGUAAUACGGAGGAUGCAAGCGUUAUCCGGAAUCACUGGGCGUAAAGCGUCUGUAGGUGGCUUGGUAAGUCUGCUGUUAAAGGUUGGGGCUCAACCCCAAAACAGCAGUGGAAACUGUUAAGCUAGAGUAUGGUAAGGGUAAAGGGAAUUCCCAGUGUAGCGGUGAAAUGCGUAGAUAUUGGGAAGAACACCAGAGGCGAAAGCGCUUUACUAGACCGUUGCUGACACUCAGAGACGAAAGCUAGGGGAGCGAAUGGGAUUAGAUACCCCCGUAGUCC